CGUAAAUAUAUCCUAUAUAUUGUCACAUUUUCUAGCCACCUGCUGCCGUUUUGUAAUUUGCUUAAUUUGCUUCACCUGUCAGAAAUGGAUUUGUUACGGCGAUAAAAUGAUCAGGAAGAGCCGAAGCUUUCCGAUACUGGUACAACUUUUGGCACAGAGCGUGGCACAGAACGGUCGGGAUUUUUUCCAAUUAGGUAUUCCCAAGUAUUAAGUGAUUCGCAGAGGCAAAGCAUCCAUCAUACGGUGUGCAGUGAAAUGGUAUCGGCAUGGAACUAUUUUUAUUUUGCGGUAAUCGUCUGCAUUGCAUUUGUCUGCAGUGUUAAAGCGGUCGAUGUGCAUUGUCCCCCUUGGCCGAGAUGUGGAUACCUUAAUCUUUGCUGCCAGCGUACCAAAAAUAAAAUAAGAUCGCAGUUGGCUGCAUUGAAAGACAACGAGCAUGAUACGGAAAUAUAGUUAAAAUAUUUGUAAAUAUAUAUAAUAAAGAUAUAAAGCUAA